rnacentral:rRNA from 1 species
GUAAGGACGCGUAGGCGGGAAGCCAAGUCUGAUGUGAAAUCCUAUGGCUUAACCAUAGAACUGCAUUGGAAACUGGUUACCUAGAGUAUGGGAGGGGGAGAUGGAAUUAGUGGUGUAGGGGUAAAAUCCGUAGAUAUCACUAGGAAUACCGAAAGCGAAGGCGAUCUCCUGGAACAAUACUGACGCUAAGGCGUGAAAGCGUGGGGAGCAAACGGGAUUAGAUACCCCGGUAGUCCACGCCCUAAACGAUGUUCACUAGUCGUCGGAAUGCUAGUCAUUUCGGUGAUGCACUUAACAGAUUAAGUGAACCGCCUGGGGAGUACGGUCGCAAGAUUAAAACUCAAAGGAAUAGACGGGGACCCGCACAAGUGGUGGAGCAUGUGGUUUAAUUCGAAGAUACGCGAAGAACCUUACCUAGCCUUGACAUUGAAGAAACACUUUAGAGAUAGAGUGGUGCCCUUCGGGGAAUCUGAAAACAGGUGCUGCACGGCUGUCGUCAGCUCGUGUCGUGAGAUGUUGGGUUAAGUCCCGCAACGAGCGCAACCCUCGUCCUUAGUUGCCAGCAGGUUAAGCUGGGCACUUUAAGGAGACUGCCUUCGCAAGGAGGAGGAAGGUGAGGACGACGUCAAGUCAUCAUGGCCCUUAUGGCUAGGGCUACACACGUGCUACAAUGGGGCGUACAGAGAGUUGCGAUACCGCGAGGUGGAGCCAAUCUCAUAAAGCGUCUCUCAGUUCGGAUUGGAGUCUGCAACUCGACUCCAUGAAGCUGGAAUCACUAGUAAUCGUAGAUCAGCAAUGCUACGGUGAAUACGU